rnacentral:misc_RNA from 1 species
CGCAAAGCUGAAUUUCUAGCUGUUCAAAGAUGUCUCAAGCGAAGGGAACAAUUUUUGCUGAUUUUAUCGCCAUCCUAGGAGCUAGGCAACCGCAGAGUUUGGUCCUUUCACAAUUGGUAGUCCCCUUCAGAUGGGCCGUAUGGUUUCUUUCCCUCUUUUUCUUUUGCUUGGGGCUCUUCUGAUCUUUCUUUGCGUUCCGAAACACCAGAUGAAUAAAUAAACGGCAGUUGCUGUCUAUGAACAGAU